AUUGAACGCUGGCGGCAGGCCUAACACAUGCAAGUCGAGCGGAGCGACGGACGGGUGAGUAAUGCCUAGGAAUCUGCCUGGUAGUGGGGGAUAACGUCCGGAAACGGGCGCUAAUACCGCAUACUAUCAGACGAGCAUAGUUCGGAUUAGCUAGUUGGUGGGGUAAAGGCCUACCAAGGCGACGAUCCGUAACUGGUCUGAGAGGAUGAUCAGUCACACUGGAACUGAGACACGGUCCAGACUCCUACGGGAGGCAGCAGUGGGGAAUAUUGGACAAUGGGCGAAAGCCUGAUGCAGCCAUGCCGCGUGUGUGAAGAAGGUCUUCGGAUUGUAAAGCACUUUAAGUUGGGAGGAGUUACCAGCAGAAUAAGCGCCGGCUAACUGCGUGCCAGCCGCCGCGGUAAUAC
rnacentral:rRNA from 1 species